UACGGAGGGUGCAAGCGUUAUCCGGAUUCACUGGGUUUAAAGGGUGCGUAGGCGGGUUGGUAAGUCCGUGGUGAAAUCUCCAAGCUUAACUUGGGAACUGCCGUGGAUACUAUCAAUCUUGAAUAUCGUGGAGGUAAGCGGAAUAUGUCAUGUAGCGGUGAAAUGCUUAGAUAUGACAUAGAACACCAAUUGCGUAGGCAGCUUACUACACGAUCAUUGACGCUGAGGCACGAAAGCGUGGGGAGCAAACAGG
rnacentral:rRNA from 1 species